UAUUAAGAAUUAAACAUGGCGCCAGGAAGUUCAUUUGAAUGGGUCGAAAGCUAGGUCCUACUGUAGAUAAACUACUUACUGUAAUGUGCCAGACCACAAAUCUCCGCUUUCGAAUGUACAGACGCAAACACAAAGACGUCGUUUCCUCAAAUCUCCACUUUGAUAUCCGGCUGGUGUUUGAUGAGUAACGGGAAAAAAA